GCGGCGUGCCUAAUACAUGCAAGUCGAGCGAACGGACGAGAAGCUUGCUUCUCUGAUGUUAGCGGCGGACGGGUGAGUAACACGUGGAUAACCUACCUAUAAGACUGGGAUAACUUCGGGAAACCGGAGCUAAUACCGGAUAAUAUUUUGAACCGCAUGGUUCAAAAGUGAAAGACGGUCUUGCUGUCACUUAUAGAUGGAUCCGCGCUGCAUUAGCUAGUUGGUAAGGUAACGGCUUACCAAGGCAACGAUGCAUAGCCGACCUGAGAGGGUGAUCGGCCACACUGGAACUGAGACACGGUCCAGACUCCUACGGGAGGCAGCAGUAGGGAAUCUUCCGCAAUGGGCGAAAGCCUGACGGAGCAGCGCCGCGUGAGUGAUGAAGGUCUUCGGAUCGUAAAACUCUGUUAUUAGGGAAGAACAUAUGUGUAAGUAACUGUGCACAUCUUGACGGUACCUAAUCAGAAAGCCACGGCUAACUACGUGCCAGCAGCCGCGGUAAUACGUAGGUGGCAAGCGUUAUCCGGAAUUAUUGGGCGUAAAGCGCGCGUAGGCGGUUUUUUAAGUCUGAUGUGAAAGCCCACGGCUCAACCGUGGAGGGUCAUUGGAAACUGGAAAACUUGAGUGCAGAAGAGGAAAGUGGAAUUCCAUGUGUAGCGGUGAAAUGCGCAGAGAUAUGGAGGAACACCAGUGGCGAAGGCGACUUUCUGGUCUGUAACUGACGCUGAUGUGCGAAAGCGUGGGGAUCAAACAGGAUUA
rnacentral:rRNA from 1 species